UUGGAGGGCAAGUCUGGUGCCAGCAGCCGCGGUAAUUCCAGCUCCAAUAGCGUAUAUUAAAGUUGUUGCAGUUAAAAAGCUCGUAGUUGAAUUUUAGUCCUGGCCGGGCGGUCCGUCUUUGGCGAGUACUGUCCUGUGUCGGGUCUUCCUUCUGGUGAACCAGCAUGUCCUUUAUUGGGUGUGCCGGGGAGCCAGGACCAUUACCUUGAAAAAAUUAGAGUGUUUAAAGCGGGCAUUUGCUUGAAUAGAUUAGCAUGGAAUAAUAGAAUAGGACGUUGUGGUUCUAUUUUGUUGGUUUCUAGGACCACCGUAAUGAUUAAUAGGGAUAGUUGGGGGCAUUAGUAUUCAAUUGUCAGAGGUGAAAUUCUUGGAUUUAUUGAAGACUAACUACUGCGAAAGCAUUUGCCAAGGAUGUUUUCAUUAAUCAAGAACGAAAGUUAGGGGAUCGAAGACGAUCAGAUACCGUCGUAGUCUUAACCAUAAACUAUGCCGACUAGGAAUCGGGCGACGUUAUUUUCAUGACUCGCUCGGCGCCUUCUUGGAGAC
rnacentral:rRNA from 1 species